AUGAAAGUAUGUCUUCCGCAAAAGAAAAAAAAAGUGGCAAGUUGUUUUGUAAUUUUGUUUUUUGUACAGGUGUAUUGUAUUAAUCCCAUGCAGACUUUUGAGGGGAUCUGUGCUGGCUUAAAGGAAAGGCCUCUUUCCCAGACAGACAUUUGCAAUUAUUUCCAUUGUGCAUCCUCCUGCCUUAGCAUCACAAGGGCUGAUUUGAGUGUGCAUGCCAGAGUGGAACAGAAGGCUCAAGAGAUUAUCAAAAGAAUACUGUCUUUUUAAUCCCUACAUCACAGAAUCAGAUUUAGUUGAAGUUGUUUGUUGUAGAAUUGUUGUCCUCUAAUGGGCAUUUAUCUGAGUCAGCAUGUGAAAAGAACUAAUGAGCUCAAAAUGCAGCUCCACCAGGCAAUUUUCUCAACAGCAAGGUUGGUUGUCCACUGUUGACUUUUUUGUUUGCUAGCAUACUUGUUUGUCUGGCUGCAGGCUGAUCCAGCCAGGGGAACUGAUUUAAUUACAAAUACUCUUUCGUUUGUUUUUUUCACAGGGAGGGACAUUUUGCUCUUGUAGAGGUUAUUUAUACUCUAUUUUAGUUUGCUAAAUCAAUUCACUGUUUGGCUGCACAAAGAGUAGAACUAGCACAAACCAGCUGGAGGGAUAGAUCCAAAGGGCAAGGCACAGGGUCAUCCAACAAAUAGCGGAGGAGGAGAAGGCUCAUAUGCCUUCUUCUUACCUCUAUAGAACCUGAGUCAUAUAGUCAGAGUCGGGAUCUGUGUGUGGAGGAUGGGAGAUCCUGGUGACAGAGAUCUCCAAGCAUACCCCCCAUGCCUUCAUCCUAUCCUCAGGUUUAUGGUGUUUGAGGAAAACUCAAACUGUUUGAAGACAUGCUGUCUUUUCUUCAGUCCCCUUGUAUAACUUAAGGGACUACCUAUGGCCUUAGAGACUAUAUUUAAAGCUCCUCUAACUUUCCUCAGGUACUCAGUUAGAGGUUAGAACGUUACAAGCAUGUUCUAAAUGAUAUUACAUGUCGAUGUUUCCCAAGAGACCUUGAGCCUGCUGAAGAUUCUCUGUACAGGAACUUACCUGAGUCAGAAUUUAUGGCUGCUUAAGCAGCACCAAGUGGAGCGGGAAUAAUAUUAUGCCCCACUGAAUAGUGUUAGAGCAGUUUCUUUUUGAACUACAUUUCUGAAGUAGAAAUGUUGCUGGAAUUUUUUUUCAAAGUAAUAAAACCAUUCAUACAUUUCUUGAAUAGAAAGCA
rnacentral:lncRNA from 1 species